ACAGCCAAACAGAGCCAAGAGGAGGGUCUUAGUGCUGUCAAUCAAACUCAUGUAUUUGUUGCUAAAUGUGCUAAUGGCAGAGAAACAACUUACCGUUACAGAAAAACCGUUUAUCCACCGUCAUCGGAGCACAUGCUAACUAGCUUG